GAUCAUGGCUCAGAACGAACGCUGGCGGCAUGCCUAACACAUGCAAGUCGAACGAGACCUUCGGGUCUAGUGGCGCACGGGUGCGUAACGCGUGGGAAUCUGCCCUUGGGUUCGGAAUAACAGUUGGAAACGACUGCUAAUACCGGAUGAUGACGUAAGUCCAAAGAUUUAUCGCCCAAGGAUGAGCCCGCGUAGGAUUAGCUAGUUGGUGAGGUAAAAGGCUCACCCAAGGCGACGAUCCUUAGCUGGUCUGAGAGGAUGAUCAGCCACACUGGGACUGAGACACGGCCCAGACUCCUACGGGAGGCAGCAGUGGGGAAUAUUGGACAAUGGGCGAAAGCCUGAUCCAGCAAUGCCGCGUGAGUGAUGAAGGCCUUAGGGUUGUAAAGCUCUUUUACCCGGGAUGAUAAUGACAGUACCGGGAGAAUAAGCUCCGGCUAACUCCGUG
rnacentral:rRNA from 1 species